ACCAACUACGAGGUGUUUUCGAUACCUUCUCGUUCCUCAGCCCUGGCUGUCAAUCGUCGUAACCAUCGAAUCUUUCAAGGCCGGUUCCGGCGAUGUACUCGCCAGGAGACAGCCCAACGCAAACAAGCUUGAUCAUUUGAGCGGCCAACAUUCUGGUUGACAUCAUAUCACCUUUUGAAGGAAAAAAGGCUGUUCCAAUCAAGCAAAACAACUGGUGGAGGGCUCUGACCAGCUGGAAUGUGCUGUUGUAAACGAACAGCCGGACACCAAGGACUCGACAUCAUCAUCAGCACCACUUUGAUCACCCUUGAUUUUUCCUUGCCAAAAAGGGCCACCCCAAGCAAGGAGGCGAAUGGUAAGGAAUGCCAGUGCCUGACCUCCACAAUCGCUGGACUCGAUCCGAUUUUCGCCGAGCAAGUCUCGUGGCGGGGUUGCUGCGGGGACGGAUAGC